UGCGUAGGUGGUGAGGUAAGUCGGAUGUGAAAGCUCGGAGCUCAACUCCGAAAUGGCAUUGGAAACUACCUUGCUUGAGGAUUGGAGGGGGGACUGGAAUACUUGGUGUAGCAGUGAAAUGCGUAGAUAUCAAGUGGAACACCAGUGGCGAAGGCGAGUCCCUGGACAAUUCCUGACACUGAGGCACGAAAGCUAGGGGAGCAAACA
rnacentral:rRNA from 1 species